CUGCUCAACCGUCGAUGAUGCUGUUCGGGGUGCUUACGUCCUCUAAAAAAUUUCUUUGGCAUGCUCCGCGUCGAUCCUGCGCUUAAUGGCCGGUGACAAACAGGGAAGAGAGGGUUUUGGGGUAUGUCUCUUCCAUGUUCUUCUUGUUUUCCGGCUGAUUGAGUACCGACAACCUGUUCUGAUCGUUCGUCCCCCGACAUCCGGCGGCAAAUCGAACUAAUUGCUGCAAAGAACGGUAGGAACCCCCAAAUUCUUGGGGUGAUUGGCGGACCCCCGAUCCAGUUUGAAACCCAUUCGUUCGCUCCCUCUUUCCGGCACCCACCUCAUCGACAGUCGCCAUCUCGACCACACUGCGCGCCCGCUACUUAAAGUCGCGGUGAAUCCUGGUAAAUGGCGAAAUGAAGGUCUAAAGUAGAUUCUUUACCCCGCUGGCAG
rnacentral:lncRNA from 1 species